GGAGUGAGUAUAGUGGCGAACGGGUGAGUAACGCGUGGGANACCUGGCCCUUAGUGGGGGAUACGGGCCGAGCGGNCUGCUAAUACCGCAUGUGUCCCCGGAAUCGCAUGGUUCCGGGAAGAAAGGUGGCCUCUCCUUGGAAGCUAUCGCUUAAGGAUGGUCCCGCGUCCCAUUAGCUUGUUGGUGGGGUAAUGGCCUACCAAGGCGACGAUAGGUAGCCGGCCUGAGAGGGUGUCCGGCCACACUGGGACUGAGAGGCGGCCCANACUCCUACGGGAGGCAGCAGUCGAGAAGCUUCGGCAAUGGGCGAAAGCCUGACCGAGCGACGCCGCGUGAGCGAUGAAGGUCCUAUGGAUUGUAAAGCUCUGUCAGAUUGGGAAGAAAACUUCGCGAUUAAUACCCGCGAAGCUUGACGGUACCAUCAGAGGAAGCACCGGCUAACUCCGUGCCAGCAGCCGCGGUAAUACGGAGGGUGCGAGCGUUGUUCGGAUUCACUGGGUAUAAAGGGUGCGUAGGCGGCCUCGUAAGUCAGGGGUGAAAUAUGACGGCUCAACCGUCAAACUGCCCCUGAAACU
rnacentral:rRNA from 1 species